CCUACGGGAGGCAGCAGUGAGGAAUAUUGGUCAAUGGACGAGAGUCUGAACCAGCCAAGUAGCGUGAAGGAUGACUGCCCUAUGGGUUGUAAACUUCUUUUAUAAAGGAAUAAAACGAGGCACGUGUGCCUUUUUGCAUGUACUUUAUGAAUAAGGAUCGGCUAACUCCGUGCCAGCAGCCGCGGUAAUACGGAGGAUCCGAGUGUUAUCCGGAUUGAUUGGGUUUAAAGGGAGCGUAGAUGGGUUGUUAAGUCAGUUGUGAAAGUUUGCGGCGCAACCGUAAAAUUGCAAUUGAUACUGGCAGUCUUGAGUGAAGUUGAGGUAGGCGGAAUUCGUGGUGUAGCGGUGAAAUGCUUAGAUAUCACGAAGAACCCCGAUUGCGAAGGCAGCUUACUAAACUGUGACUGACAUUGAUGCUCGAAAGUGUGGGUAUCAAACAGGAUUAGAUACCCGAGUAGUC
rnacentral:rRNA from 1 species